rnacentral:rRNA from 1 species
CCUACGGGCGGCAGCAGUGAGGAAUAUUGGUCAAUGGGCGUAAGCCUGAACCAGCCAAGUCGCGUGAGGGAUGAAGGUUCUAUGGAUCGUAAACCUCUUUUAUAAGGGAGUAAAGUGCGGGACGUGUCCCGUUUUGUAUGUACCUUAUGACUAAGGAUCGGCUAACUCCGUGCCAGCAGCCGCGGUAAUACGGAGGCUCCGAGCGUUAUCCGGAUUUAUUGGGCUUAAAGGGUGCGUAGGCGGCCUUUUAAGUCAGCGGUGAAAGUCUGUGGCUCAACCAGAGAAUUGCCGUGGAAACUGGGAGGCUUGAGUAUGGUAGAGGCAGGCGGAAGGCGAGGUGUAGCGGUGAAAUGCGUAGAGAUCAGGAAGAACCCCGAUGGCGAAGGCAGCCUGCCAAGCCAUGACUGACGCUGAUGCACGAAAGCGUGGGGAGCAAACAGGAUUAGAUACCCGUGUAGUC